CUCAUACUAUUUGGAAUUACGAGUUCCCCUGUUUCUACUAUGCUGGAACUUGGUGUGGACAAGGAUCAGGUCUUACCAAGACAUCCCCCAGUCCCCUGCUCUGUUUCAAUAAGUGGUUCUUGAAGAAGAAGACCUGGGGGAAGAAGGUCAAAGGCCCUCAGGACCCCUGAGGGGUGUCGGAUCCGUGGCUUAGAGCCUCCGCUGAUCUGUGCUUGUCCUGUAGCUGAAGCCAGCCAGCAGAUGGCAGAGCUAUCCGAGGUGUUGGUGCUGAGGCUGGAAGGCUAUGAGAGGCAGCAGAAGGAGAUCACUCAGCUGCAGGCCGAGAUCACCAAGCUACAACAGCGUUGUCAGUCUUAUGGGGCCCAGACGGAGAAACUGCAGCAGCAGCUGGCCUCAGAGAAGGGAGUCCACCCAGAGGUGAGGUUCCAUGGUUCCCAGAUCUGGAAGGCAGGUCCCUGGGGACUACUUGGCUCUCCAGAGAAGACAAGCAACUUCCAGGAAGAGCUUUUCUGCCUUCCACCCUCACUGGCCUAUGGCCCAGCAGAUAUCUGCUUAUUUGAGGCCUGAAUGGGGUAGAGAUCAGGAUCUUGUCCA
rnacentral:lncRNA from 1 species